GAUGAACGCUGGCGGCGUGCCUAAUACAUGCAAGUCGAGCGAACGGACGAGAAGCUUGCUUCUCUGAUGUUAGCGGCGGACGGGUGAGUAACACGUGGAUAACCUACCUAUAGGACUGGGAUAACUUCGGGAAACCGGAGCUAAUACCGGAUAAUAUUUUGAACCGCAUGGUUCAAAAGUGAAAGACGGUCUUGCUGUCACUUAUAGAUGGAUCCGCGCUGCAUUAGCUAGUUGGUAAGGUAACGGCUUACCAAGGCAACGAUGCAUAGCCGACCUGAGAGGGUGAUCGGCCACACUGGAACUGAGACACGGUCCAGACUCCUACGGGAGGCAGCAGUAGGGAAUCUUCCGCAAUGGGCGAAAGCCUGACGGAGCAACGCCGCGUGAGUGAUGAAGGUCUUCGGAUCGUAAAACUCUGUUAUUAGGGAGGAACAUAUGUGUAAGUAACUGUGCACAUCUUGACGGUACCUAAUCAGAAAGCCACGGCUAACUACGUG
rnacentral:rRNA from 1 species